CAUAAUUUCUUUUAAAUGCAUAAAUUAUUUUUGUGAAUUUUAUUUUGUAUGCCUGCUAUUUUGAACAUCAUUUUAAAGACGCAGCUCGAACAAAAAUGUCUCUUAUUUUUGCAAACAGUGCUUCUUUCUUAUGUUUCAGAGU